AUUCCAGCUCCAAUAGCGUAUAUUAAAGUUGUUGCAGUUAAAAAGCUCGUAGUCGGAUUUCGGGUCGGGCCGAGCGGUCUGCCGAUGGGUAUGCACUGUUCGGCGCGGCCUUCUUUCCGGAGACCGCGGCUACUCUUAACUGAGCGGGCGUGGGAGACGGAUCGUUUACUUUGAAAAAAUCAGAGUGUUUCAAGCAGGCAGCUCGCUCUUGCAUGGAUUAGCAUGGGAUAAUGAAAUAGGACUCUGGUGCUAUUUUGUUGGUUUCGAACACCGGAGUAAUGAUUAACAGGGACAGUCAGGGGCACUCGUAUUCCGUCGAGAGAGGUGAAAUUCUCAGACCAAUGGAAGACGAACCACUGCGAAAGCAUUUGCCAGGGAUGUUUUCAUUA
rnacentral:rRNA from 1 species